rnacentral:miRNA from 1 species
GCAGACACAUUCCAUCCAAUCAGCAGCAGACCCUCCCUCCCUGACCAUCCCACCUACUGGACAGCAUCCAUUUUGAAGCUGCAUUCUUAAUGAGCUGUCCAGGAGGUGGGAGGGUCUGGGAGGGAGGGUCUGCUGCUGAUUGGCUGGAAUUUGUCUG